GACGAACGCUGGCGGCGUGCUUAACACAUGCAAGUCGAACGAUGAAGAAAAGAAUCGAAGCUUCGGCAGAAAUUCAUUUCGGAUUAGUGGCACACGGGUGAGUAACGCGUGAGCAACCUACCUCUUACAAAGGGAUAGCCUCGGGAAACCGGGAUUAAUACCAUAUAACAUUGCGACGAAGCAUUUCGAUGCAAUCAAAGCUACGGCGGUAAGAGAUGGGCUCGCGUCCCAUUAACCGGAUGGUGAGGUAACGGCUCACCAUAGUGACGAUGGGUAACCGGCCUGAGAGGGUGAACGGUCACACUGGAACUGAGACACGGUCCAGACUCCUACGGGAGGCAGCAGUGGGGAAUAUUGCACAAUGGAGGGAACUCUGAUGCAGCGACGCCGCGUGAGUGAUGAAGGAAUUCGUUUCGUAAAACUCUGUUCUAUGGGAAGAAAAGGACUGUACCAUAGGAGAAAGCUCCGGCUAAAUACGUG
rnacentral:rRNA from 1 species